AUUGAACGCUGGCGGAAUGCUUUACACAUGCAAGUCGAACGGCAGCACGGACUUCGGUCUGGUGGCGAGUGGCGAACGGGUGAGUAAUGUAUCGGAACGUGCCCAGUCGUGGGGGAUAACGUAGUGAAAAUUACGCUAAUACCGCAUACGAUCUAUGGAUGAAAGCGGGGGAUCGCAAGACCUCGCGCGAUUGGAGCGGCCGAUAUCGGAUUAGGUAGUUGGUGGGGUAAAGGUCCACCAAGCCAACGAUCUGUAGCUGGUCUGAGAGGACGACCAGCCACACUGGAACUGAGACACGGUCCAGACUCCUACGGGAGGCAGCAGUGGGGAAUUUUGGACAAUGGGCGCAAGCCUGAUCCAGCCAUUCCGCGUGCAGGAUGAAGGCCCUCGGGUUGUAAACUGCUUUUGUACAGAACGAAAAGGUUUCUACUAAUACUAGGAGCUCAUGACGGUACUGUAAGAAUAAGCACCGGCUAACUACGUGCCAGCCGCCGCAGUAA
rnacentral:rRNA from 1 species